rnacentral:rRNA from 1 species
UACGAAGGUGGCUAUCGUUGCUCGGAAUCACUGGGCGUAAAGGGCGCGUAGGCGGCUUGGUCAGUCAGGCGUGAAAUUCCUGGGCUUAACCUGGGGACUGCGCUUGAUACGGCCAGGCUUGAGGCCGAGAGAGGGUGGUGGAAUUCCCAGUGUAGAGGUGAAAUUCGUAGAUAUUGGGAAGAACACCGGUGGCGAAGGCGACCACCUGGCUCGGUACUGACGCUGAGGCGCGACAGCGUGGAGAGCAAACAGG